UGCCCAAGAUCGGACCCCUCCACUCCGACCAAUUGGUGCUGGUGAUUGUGGCUUCAUUGCGGUUGUCCUUCCCUUGCCAAGAAGUGUCUAUAGAGGGAUUUUUGGCUACUUAUGGCUUGUUGCAAUCACUGGACCUCUACUUUGACCAUUGUCUUGCCCAAGAUCCAGUGCUGGACAUCAUUUUCUGGUUUUGAUAUGAAGUUGCAGGACAUCUUCCAAACAUCAUCAAUUUAGCUAGAAAUAAGGAUUCAACAGAGGGAUAUUGUUUGGGAGUUCAGCAGUCUCAUCUUGCCCUAGUUACCAAUUUCCAACAGCCAACAAUUUCGGCUUUGGAUCAACCACGGUGCAUCCGAAAUUGGGAUUUGGGUUUGAGGUGAGUGUCUCGAUGUGGGAUUGGUCUAUCUAACGCGAUCGACUGAUAAAGGAGGGUAUUUCUUCCUUGGCCUCUAUGUAGAUUUUCUUGUACUUAGUGCGUGGUUAUUAUUAGAUGAAUUAGGCUGUUUUAUCUUAUAUCAUGAUCGGUUGCUGUUUUUCCUGCAUGAUACUUAUGCUUGACCGUUUUGAUGAUCUAUUUAAUUCAUAUAUAGUCUCAACUCUUGAUAUCUACUCUAUUGUGAUUACA